UAUUCGCUCGAACGGACGGAAGGCACAAGGGUUUCCGUUAAGUUUACCACUUACAAUUAAUGGCGCUGGCGGUGUUAUUUGUCACACAGCUUACAGCUGGAGUCUUCUUACUGCUCAGUACACUAGCGUCCAUUUGCCUUGCCAUGCUAAGUUGCUUUGGCCUUGCUUUGCUGUGCUUCGGAAGUUCGCUUAGGAGCUGGGCAUUAUGAGCUAGGUGCCUGGCUAGUGACGCGUUAACUUACGUACUCGUCUUACUUACUUAACUUCGUUUUUACCGUCGUGUAUUAUUUUUAGCCUACA